GAAACAGCAGAGCCACAUUCAAAGAGCAGGUACAUCACUCUGAGAAGCCCUUAGAAUGGAGACCCCUCCAGUGAAGGUAAUAGGGAGAGAAUAAAGAAUAAAAUGUCACCUGGAAGCAAAGAGAGGGCAAAAAUGUGAAGACUCUGCCAUUCAUAACACCUUAAGUCCAAUUUCACGCUAGCCCUAAAGGGAGGAUAGGAAACAGGAAAAGGAAGAUCGAGGAACAAGAAGUGGUCAGAAAUGAGUCUGGUUGCAGAGGAUCUGGUGGAGGACUCCAUGACCCCAGAAGACGCUGGAGCCGUUAGAUGAGAGAAGCCUUGAUCUGUGAAAGACUGCAUGGGUCAACCUCCAUUGGACUGUGAUAUGAAUUCCUGGACACAGGGACAAAGAAGAGAUCUCCCAAUUCGAACACACAUUUUAUUGAUGAAUCCUAGUUCACUGGCCUGUGCUCACUUGUAGAAAAGUGUCCUUGACUUGAACUCAAAGCACCCUACAGUAAAGUGAUCAUGUAAUUUAUAUGCAAAAAUGACUACAGCACUUUUGAGAGUGAAAGGGGACAUAAUUACACUAUCUUGACAAGCAUAAAUAGGAACUAUGCCAG
rnacentral:lncRNA from 1 species